AUUGAACGCUGGCGGAAUGCUUUACACAUGCAAGUCGAACGGCAGCACGGACUUCGGUCUGGUGGCGAGUGGCGAACGGGUGAGUAAUGUAUCGGAACGUGCCCAGUCGUGGGGGAUAACGUAGUGAAAAUUACGCUAAUACCGCAUACGAUCUAUGGAUGAAAGCGGGGGAUCGCAAGACCUCGCGCGAUUGGAGCGGCCGAUAUCAGAUUAGGUAGUUGGUGGGGUAAAGGCCCACCAAGCCAACGAUCUGUAGAUGGUCUGAGAGGACGACCAGCCACACUGGAACUGAGACACGGUCCAGACUCCUACGGGAGGCAGCAGUGGGGAAUUUUGGACAAUGGGCGAAAGCCUGAUCCAGCCAUUCCGCGUGCAGGAGGAAGGCCCUCGGGUUGUAAGCUGCUUUUGUACAGAACGAAAAGGUUUCUACUAAUACUAGGAGCUCAUGACGGUACUGUAAGAAUAAGCACCGGCUAACUACAUGCCAGCCGCCGCCGUAA
rnacentral:rRNA from 1 species